rnacentral:ncRNA from 2 species
GAUGAAAAGGACUUUGAAA